rnacentral:rRNA from 1 species
AGGAUGAACGCUGGCGGCGUGCUUAACACAUGCAAGUCGAACGAUGAUCCCAGCUUGCUGGGGGAUUAGUGGCGAACGGGUGAGUAACACGUGAGUAACCUGCCCUUAACUCUGGGAUAAGCCUGGGAAACUGGGUCUAAUACCGGAUAUGACUCCUCAUCGCAUGGUGGGGGG